CAACUAUAUAGUUAUCAUAAUAAUGACAAUCAUGCUGAAAACCAUCUGGAGAUUGAGGCUCAUUUUGGAAGUAUAAAUGAUCUUGCAUUUUCUAAGCCAAAUAACCAACUUCUUGUCAUAACGUGCGGCGAGGACAUGUUGGUCAAGGUCUGGAAUGCUAACAAUGGUGCGAAACAAUAUACUUUUGAAGGUCAUAAAGCCCCCGUUUACUCUCUUUGCCCUCACGAGAAGGAAGAUGUUCAUUUUAUAUUAUCAACAUCAACUAAUGGUGAAAUAAAAGCAUGGAUAUAUGAAAACUCGGGACCAUGUGUUUCUUACGAGGCUCCUAGUAAAUGUUGCAUGAGAAUGCUUUACAG
rnacentral:misc_RNA from 1 species